rnacentral:rRNA from 1 species
GUAGGUGGCAAGCGUUGUCCGGGAUUAUUGGGCGUAAAGCGCGCGCAGGCGGUUCUUUAAGUCUGAUGUGAAAGCCCACGGCUCAACCGUGGAGGGUCAUUGGAAGCUGGAGAACUUGAGUACAGAAGAGGAAAGCGGAAUUCCACGUGUAGCGGUGAAAUGCGUAGAGAUGUGGAGGAACACCAGUGGCGAAGGCGGCUUUCUGGUCUGUAACUGACGCUGAGGCGCGAAAGCGUGGGGGGGAGCAAACAGGAUUAGGUACCCUGGUAGUCCACGCCGUAAACGAUGAGUGCUAAGUGUUAGGGGGUUUCCGCCCCUUAGUGCUGCAGCUAACGCAUUAAGCACUCCGCCUGGGAGUACGGCCGCAAGGCUG